rnacentral:lncRNA from 10 species
UCCUCCUUUAGUUCAGAGUAGUUUGAUCGUCUGAAGCCUUCUUCUCUCAACUCGUCAAAGUCACUCUCCGUCCAUCUUUGUUCCGUUGCUGGAGAGGAGCUUCAUUCCUUUGGAGGAGGAGAGGCACUCUGAUUUUUAGAGUUUCCAGUUUUUCUGCUCUGUUUUUUCCCCAUCUUUGUGGUUUUAUCUACCUUUGGUCUUUGAUGAUGGUGACGUACAGAUGGGGUUUUGGUGUGGAUGUCUUUGUUUUCCUUCUAACAGUCAGGACCCUCAGCUGCAGGUCUGUUGGAGUUUGCUGGAGGUCCACUCCAGACCCUGUUUGCCUGGGUAUCAGCAGCGGAGGCUGCAGAACAGCGGAUAUGGGUGAAAAGCAAAUGUUGCUGCCUGAUCGUUCCUCUGAAAGUUUUGUCUCAGAGGAGUACCCGGCUGUGUGAGGUGUCAGACUGCCCCUACUGGUGGGUGCCUCCCAUUUAGGCUACUCGGGGGUCAGGGACCCACUUGAGGAGGCAGUCUGUCCGUUCUCAGAUCUCAAGCUGUGUGCUGGGAGAACCACUACUCUCUUCAAAGCUGUCAGACAGGGACAUUUAAGUCUGCAGAGGUUUCUGCUGCCUUUUGUUUGGAUAUGCCCUGCCCCUAGAGGUGGAGUCUACAUAGGCAAGCAGGCCUCCUUGAGCUGUGUUGGGCUCCACCCAGUUCGAGCUUCCUGGCUGCUUUGUUUACCUACUCAAGCCUUGGCAAUGGCAGGCGCCCCUCCCCCAGCCUCAUUGCUGCCUUGCAGUUUGAUCUCAGACUGCUGUGCUAGCAAUGAGCGAGGCUCCGUGGUUGUAGGACCCUCCGAGCCAUGCAUGGGAUAUAAUCUCCUGGUGUGCAGUUUGCUAAGACCAUUGGAAAAGUGCAGUAUUAGGGUGGGAGUGACCCGAUUUUCCAUGUGCCGUCUGUCACCCCUUUCUUUGACUAGGAAAGGGAAUUCCCUGACCCCUUGUGCUUCCCGGAUGAGAUGAUGCCUCGCCCUGCUUCGUCUCACACUCGGUGCGCUGCACCCACUGUCCUGCACCCACUAUCCAACACUCCACAGUGAGAUGAACCCGGUACCUCAGUUGGAAAUGCAGAAAUCAGCCGUCUUCUGCAUCACUCACGCUGGGAGCUGUAGACUGUAACUGUUCUUAUUCGGCCAUCUUGGCUCCACCUCACUUCUUUUAUAAUAUUAAGGGUUUUGCUGCAAACUGCAGAAAUGUUACUCAGUAGAAUAAGCAGAUAAUACUCUGAGUAAUACCUCAGAUAACAAGAAUGCAACACUGGUGCAUUGGCCAGGAAAGGAAACAUCAGAAAGAUGAGUAGGAGAGGACCUCCAACACUGUACUUUCAUUUCCAAGGCUCCUUAUCCUCUGUUUUUUUCUUGUAAGAUCAAACAAAACACUGGGCCCCUGUCAGCCUAUUAAAAGCUUCUAGAGUGGCUGCCAGCCUUACAAGAUUCAGGGGACAGGCUUGAUGGAGAGGACUUUAUCAAUCCCCCAUCACUCUUGGGUGUUGGGAAUGUUGGCUCUGUUCCAACCUAGCUCCCUUUCACAGAAGAUCUAGCCAUCAUGUGGGGCUGGAAGAAGGUCCUGGGGCAACUGAAGGCAUCUGGCGGAGGCUGCACCUUGGUGUUACCUGAAGACUCCUGGACUAACUCCAGUCCCCAACAGCCCACCAGGACUUCCAGACUUUCCUAUCACAUUUUCUUCCUUUCUUUUCUUUUUUGCAGCUCUCAUGUCUCCUAUCCCUUCUUUGUAUGCUAUGUUGAGGGAGUUUUUACAGCCUGGGGAGAUAACCUUGUUGGGUAAAGUUAGCAAGUGCCUUAGUAACCAGGAAUGUAACUCUAAGAAUUGCUGCUUCUGUGAUUUCCUUGAGAUGGGGGGAUUUCAAGAUUUCAACUAAACUUUCAACUAAACUAAACUAAACUGAACUAAACUUUCACCUAGUAAGGGCUUUUUUGUUCCCCAAUGAUAGUCAUUCAUGGCACUCUAUAGGAGGAUAUUUCAACCUGAGUGAAUACCCUCCUCUCCAUUUGGGUUGUUUUAUUCCUCCACAUAAAAGCUCAGCACUGCCAGUGAAUUUAAACAGUUCCUCCAUGAGACAAAUUGUAUUUUUGCUGGGAGGCAUAUUGUGGGGACAGCCCACCAAGCCCCACACCUCUCUGCCUAGAAAGAAUUUGGAGUCACAGUUUUUACCUAACAUUUCAGUUAUUGCCACAACACCUAGCAAAAUAGGAUUUUUCUGUGUUGGGGGGCCAUAUUGACCCUUUUCCCAAAACCUCUAGUUCCCCAACUCUUUUUCCUCCUGCAUCCCUCUAUAAGUGAUCAGACCUCAUGCCCUAUUUGUAGGCAGGAAAACUCCACUUUCAAUAGUCAGGAGGAAGCUGCCCUUGAGAGACAAAUUCUAGGCUCAGUACUGUCCUCAUCGAAGGUAGGACAGCCAUUUAAUCCUUAUAUUUUUUGAGGCACCUGUCCUAAACACAACUACAUUGGCAUUUAAACAAAAGAGGAUUUUAUGCUUAGAAGUCAAUUGGUCCCAUUCUCUGGGAAAUCAGGGCUUUGCUAGGGCCACAGUAAGAGAAGCCAGGGACAGAGUCAAGACACUCCUUCCAUUAAAUGGUCUUACUCAAAUCCAACUACUGCACAAUCCCUCCUGGGCCCCUGGGGUACCAUGGGAGCCUUUUAGGUCGAGUAGGUCUGGGAUACCCAGAGAUAGGUAGAGAGCUAGGGAAUCUCACAGGUAAACAUGACUACUCCUGCUGACUAGCUCCUCUGGAUCCAUGGGUGGUAAUGCUUGCAUCCAUGGGCAGCACAAUUGAUGGCCACCAGGACCCAGAGGAGAUGGGAGGAAAGAGGAGAAGGAGGACGCCCUUUCUACCUUUCUCUGUACCCUGGGUCACUCCAAAAGGAGGAAGUGGACUAAGGUAUGCCUUUUCUCCCCUCUCUUUCCAGAUACUUAACAACCCAUCUUCAAGCCUGCACUUUCCUCGAGUGCAGCCUGGAUCUCUUUUAAUCGUCAGACCCUGAAGUUUGCUUUAGGAAAGUCCCAACUUCACUCACAUAUAGAGUAUUUAAACUCUGCUGGAAGGAUGUUAGGUUACUCUUAAAUCAAACCCUAACUGCUGCUGAGAAACAGUUGGCCCUGUAGGCAGCAAAGAAAUUUGGAGAUGAACUUUGUGUCUCAUACAGUGCCAGGGAAGGGGAAGAGCCUUAUCCAAUUGGGAGAGUAAUAGUGCCCUUAAAGGACCCUAAAUGUGACCAUAAUAAUAGCAUUGGUGAGUGGAGAAGAAAACUCUUUCAAAUGCGUAUAUUGGAGAAGCCACAAAGGACUAUAGCCAAACCUAUUAACUACUACAAGCUUUCCAUAAUAGAUAAU